GUAGCUGUAGCUCAGUGGUUUAGUACCUGCCUGGCAUGCACAAGGACCUGGAUUCAAUCUCCAGUACUACA
rnacentral:tRNA from 1 species